rnacentral:rRNA from 1 species
UACGUAGGGUGCAAGCGUUAUCCGGAAUUAUUGGGCGUAAAGAGCUCGUAGGUGGCCUGUCGCGUCGGCUGUGAAAACUCGGGGCUCAACUCCGAGCUUGCAGUCGAUACGGGCAGGCUAGAGUUCGGCAGGGGAGACUGGAAUUCCUGGUGUAGCGGUGAAAUGCGCAGAUAUCAGGAGGAACACCGGUGGCGAAGGCGGGUCUCUGGGCCGAUACUGACACUGAGGAGCGAAAGCGUGGGGAGCGAACAGG